rnacentral:lncRNA from 1 species
CCGCUCAACUGCUGAGAUGGGCUCUGAACUCUUACAGACCAGUCCGGACAGUGAGACGGACCCCGAAGACAAAGCCGGUAAGGAGAGUGAAGACAGAGAACAGGAACAGGACAGGGAACCCCGGCAGGCAGAGCUCCCUAACCGUUCCCCAGGCUUCGGAAUCAAGAAGGAGAAGACAGGCUGGGACACAUCGGAAAGCGAGCUGAGUGAGGGGGAGCUGGAGAGGCGAAGGCGGACACUCCUACAACAGCUGGACGACCACCAAUGACCCCACGAGCUACUCUGCCUUGGGACUUCGUGAGGCAAUGGCUUCAGGGUGGCCUCAGCAUCUGCCUCAGACUCCUUCGUCUGUCUGGUCUGUGUCCACUUUCCCUACAGUAGCCCACCCCAACGCACUGCCGUGAGCGCCUCUCGAGGUUGCUCUUGGUGUUCAAGGGUCCCCUAGUUCUCAGACAACUAGUGCAGUCCUUGCCCUCAGCCCCAGACCAGAGACGGGCAGUCUAUACCACAUGGGGUGGGUGAUGCCAGUAGAUAGUGUGAGAAGGGGUCUCCCAGGAAAGAGACAGGCUGGUUGGACACAGCCUGGGUGGCCGAGGGCAGGGUCCUCACCCUCUAGCAUCAGUGCCUGCUCUUGCCUGACCUGGUCCUGGGGCUCUACCACUGCUUCCUCUCCCUUGGGACCCGAUGUAUGUGUUCUGUUUUGUUUUUUAAAUAAUAUUUAUAACAUG